rnacentral:rRNA from 1 species
UACAGAGGGUGCAAGCGUUGUUCGGAUUUACUGGGCGUAAAGCGUGCGUAGGCGGUAUGUAGAGUCAUACGUGAAAUCCCUGGGCUUAACUCAGGAGCUGCUUGUGAUACCUAUAUACUAGAGUGUGGAAGAGGAUAGUGGAAUUCCUAGUGUAGCGGUGAAAUGCGUAGAUAUUAGGAGGAACACCAGUGGCGAAGGCGGCUAUCUGGUCCACAACUGACGCUGAGGCACGAAAGCGUGGGUAGCAAACAGG